CGGGUGUAGUUCAAUGGUAGAACACCAGCCUUCCAAGCUGGUUGCGUGGGUCCGAUUCCCAUCACCC
rnacentral:tRNA from 4 species